rnacentral:lncRNA from 1 species
CUCUUCACACACAAAAAAAGGUUAGUGAUUUUUAUGUUUUUGUAGAAGCCAUUUUUUUUUAAUCUCUGGACACAUUCUAAUUCAGUUUAUGCCUGUAACCAUAUUUCCAAACCCACAGUUUACAAUCGCAUUGCAACAUGCAUCUUUGUAAUGUUUCUUACAGCUAUCACAGAAAAAAAAAUUAGUAUAGACUGUUUAUCUUAGAGAACAAAUCUACAGAAAAGACUGCCAGGAUCCCAGAAACUGAUCUUUCUCUUGUCAUUGCCACAGGAAAGAAUCCAGGUGUUUUGCCUCUCUUGUACAACCUGAAACAUGGCUUCUGUCUCUCAACUAUAGGUAGUGGUUCCAGGCAUUAUUAUUUGACCCUGCCUACACAUCUACAUAGAAAAGAAAGAGAGAGAGAGAGAGAGAGAGAGAGAGAGAGAGAGAGAGAGAGAGAGAGAGAGAGAGAGAGAGAGAGAGAGAAGGAAGGAAAAGAGAGAGAGAGAAAGGCGGGGGGGGGGGAGGAAGGAAGGAACAGAAAAGAAAAAGAGAAAAGAAAAGAAUACAGUGUGUUUCUUACAUUCUUUGGUUGCCCAGGCAACAAAGACAGACCCAGCUGAGACAAGCCACAGCAUCUGUACAUUCCUCCAGACUGAUGCCUGCUUCUGUG